CGAACGCUGGCGGCAUGCCUAACACAUGCAAGUCGAACGAGACCUUCGGGUCUAGUGGCGCACGGGUGCGUAACGCGUGGGAAUCUGCCCUCCGGUUCGGAAUAACUCAGGGAAACUUGAGCUAAUACCGGAUAAUGACUUCGGUCCAAAGAUUUAUCGCCGAGGGAUGAGCCCGCGUAGGAUUAGCUAGUUGGUGAGGUAAAGGCUCACCAAGGCGACGAUCCUUAGCUGGUCUGAGAGGAUGAUCAGCCACACUGGGACUGAGACACGGCCCAGACUCCUACGGGAGGCAGCAGUGGGGAAUAUUGGACAAUGGGCGAAAGCCUGAUCCAGCCAUGCCGCGUGAGUGAUGAAGGCCUUAGGGUUGUAAAGCUCUUUUGCCGGGGACGAUAAUGACGGUACCCGGAGAAGAAGUCCCGGCUAACUUCGU
rnacentral:rRNA from 1 species